rnacentral:rRNA from 1 species
AGCAGCCGCGGUAAUUCCAGCUCCAAUAGCGUAUAUUAAAGUUGUUGCAGUUAAAAAGCUCGUAGUUGAAUUUCGGGAUCAGUAUGUUGGUCGUGCUUCGGUACGUACUGUCAUUACUGGUUUCUACCUUCUGAAGAACCUUGAUGUCAUUAAUUUGGUGUCUUGGGGAAUCAGGACUGUUACUUUGAAAAAAUUAGAGUGUUUAAAGCAAGCAUACGCUUGAAUACAUUAGCAUGGAAUAAUGAAAUAGGACGUUUGAUUCUAUUUUGUUGGUUUCUAGGAUCGACGUAAUGAUUAAUAGGGAUAGUUGGGGGCAUUAGUAUUCAAUUGUCAGAGGUGAAAUUCUUGGAUUUAUUGAAGACUAACUACUGCGAAAGCAUUUGCCAAGGAUGUUUUCAUUAAUCAAGAACGAAAGUUAGGGGAUCGAAGACGAUCAGAUACCGUCGUAGUCUUAACCAUAAACUAUGCCGACUAGGGAUCGGAUGAUGUUAUUUUUAAUGACUCAUUCG